UACAGAGGUCUCAAGCGUUGUUCGGAUUCAUUGGGCGUAAAGGGUGCGUAGGCGGCGCGGUAAGUCGGGUGUGAAAUCUCGGAGCUUAACUCCGAAACUGCAUUCGAUACUGCCGUGCUUGAGGACUGGAGAGGAGACUGGAAUUUACGGUGUAGCGGUGAAAUGCGUAGAUAUCGUGAGGAAGCUCAGUGGCGAAGGCGGGUCUCUGGGCCGUUCCUGACGCUGAGGCACGAUAGCCUGGGGAGCAACCGGG
rnacentral:rRNA from 1 species